UACGUAGGGUGCAAGCGUGUCCGGAAUUAUUGGGCGUAAAGAGCUCGUAGGCGGUCUGUCGCGUCGGCUGUGAAAACCCGGGGCUCAACCCCGGGCCUGCAGUCGAUACGGGCAGACUAGAGUGCGGUAGGGGAGACUGGAAUUCCUGGUGUAGCGGUGAAAUGCGCAGAUAUCAGGAGGAACACCGGUGGCGAAGGCGGGUCUCUGGGCCGAUACUGACGCUGAGGAGCGAAAGCGUGGGGAGCGAACAGG
rnacentral:rRNA from 1 species